GCAUUCAAGCGCGUGGCGCGUCGCCAGCCUUCCAAGCUGUGCAGGGUAGGGUUCGACUCCCUCUGGAUGCUCCA
rnacentral:tRNA from 1 species